rnacentral:rRNA from 1 species
AUUGAACGCUGGCGGCAGGCUUAACACAUGCAAGUCGAACGAGUGGCGGGCGGGUGAAUAGUGCGGGGGAAUCUCGCUUAUGGAGGGGGAUCACUACGAGAAGCUGUAGAUAAUCCCGCAAAACAUGAGAUGAGCCCAAGUGGGAUUAGAUAGGUGGUGGGGUAAAGGCUCACCAAGCCGACGAUCUCUAGCUGGUCUGAGAGGAUGAUCAGCCACACUGGGACUGAGACACGGCCCAGACUCCUACGGGAGGCAGCAGUGGGGAAUAUUGCGCAAUGGGGGCAAGCCUGAUGCAGCCAUGCCGCGUGUAUGAAGAAGGCCUUCGGGUUGUAAAGUACUUUCGGUAGCGAGGCGUUACCGACAGAAGAAGCACCGGCUAACUCCGUGCCAGCAGCCGCGGUAAUAC